CCAGAGGAAGACCAGAUCUGUCUGCACCACCACUGGACCAUCAGAGGAAAACUGCACCUUCUACAAGAUCAUUGCUUCAACAAAACCACAUCUGUCACUCCAGGAGGACUGCAGCCACGAUUUGAUUGUACUGCAAGCAACACCCUGACUACCCGGGUGCCAGCAGGAUUUCCCAUUCUGAAACCUUGACUGGAUGGAGGAGGAGGCUGUGAGAAAGAAGAAGAUGCCCUGGGACAGCCAGGCAGACAAGGAGCUGAGGAUGGAGACCAGGGAGGACAAAUCCCUGCACCAGAACCUUGUGGAAGAGGCCGUUUUGAGUGGCUCCAUGGCACAGGAAUCAAAUUGGGAGAAAAAGCGCCAGAGGUCCUGCAGGAGGAAGGACUCCAAACCCAUCCCAGGGGGCAACAAGGAGGAAAGACCCACCCUGUGCCAGG